rnacentral:misc_RNA from 1 species
UGUAGGAGCUGCCGCAGGCUGCGAUCUUUUGACCUUGAUUUUUUAAGGUCAAAAGAUCGCAGCCUGCGGCAGCUCCUACA